UCCAGCAGCCAUAUCACCCUGCAACUCACAACUGGCAACCCACUGAAGCUAAGUAGCCUGGUCAGUACCUGGAUGGGAGACCUCCUGGGAAAAACUAAGGUUGCUGCUGGAA
rnacentral:rRNA from 1 species